rnacentral:rRNA from 1 species
CAGAGUCGCCGGGUCUAGACCCGAAGCGGAGUGAUCUACCCAUGGCCAGGUUGAAGCGACGGUAAGACGUCGUGGAGGACCGAACCCACUUCAGUUGAAAAUGGAGGGGAUGAGCUGUGGGUAGGGGUGAAAGGCCAAUCAAACUCCGUGAUAGCUGGUUCUCCCCGAAAUGCAUUUAGGUGCAGCGUCGCAUGUUUCUCACUGGAGGUAGAGCUACUGGAUGGCCGAUGGGCCCUACAAGGUUACUGACGUCAGCCAAACUCCGAAUGCCGGUGAGUGAGAGUGCGGCAGUGAGACUGCGGGCGAUAAGGUUCGUAGUCGAGAGGGAAACAGCCCAGAUCGCCGGCUAAGGCCCCUAAGCGUGUACUAAGUGGAAAAGGAUGUGGGGUCGCGAAGACAACCAGGAGGUUGGCUUAGAAGCAGCCACCCUUGAAAGAGUGCGUAAUAGCUCACUGGUCAAGUGAUCCUGCGCCGACAAUGUAGCGGGGCUCAAGUACACCGCCGAAGCCGCGGCACUCACACAAGACAUUCUCUUCAUCCUGCGGGGUGUUGAGCAGUGGUGUGGGUGGGUAGGGGAGCGUCCUGCAUCCCUGGAAGCCACAGAGUGAUCUAGUGGUGGAGGGUGUGGGAGUGAGAAUGCAGGCAUGAGUAGCGAAAGAACAGUGAGAAACUGUUCCGCCGAAUGACCAAGGGUUCCUGGGCCAGGCUAAUCCGCCCAGGGUGAGUCGGGACCUAAGGCGAGGCCGACAGGCGUAGUCGAUGGACAACGGGUUGAUAUUCCCGUACCCGUGUAGUCGCGCCCGUGAUGAAUCAGCUGUACUAACCGCCCUGAAUGUUCCUUAGCCGCCUUCGGGUGGCCCUGGGACUGGAUGCGCGGGACCUUGGUUGGUAGUAGUCAAGCGAUGGGGUGACGCAGGAAGGUAGUGGGGCCAGUCAGUGGUUGUACUGGUGUAAGCCUGUAGGGCGUGUUCUAGGCAAAUCCGGAACACAUAUAAGCCUGAGAGGUGAUGCGUAGCCGAAUGAGGCGAAUUCCAUGAUCCUAUGCUGCCGAGAAAAGCCUCUAGCGAGUGGCGACACGGCCCGUACCCCAAACCAACACAGGUGGUCAGGUAGAGAAUACUAAGGCGAUCGAGAGAACUGUGGUUAAGGAACUCGGCAAAAUGCCCCCGUAACUUCGGGAGAAGGGGGACCACGUCUGGUGAUGNNNNNNNNNNNNNNNNNNNNNNNNNNNNNNNNNNNNNNNNNNNNNNNNNNNNNNNNNNNNNNNNNNNNNNNNNNNNNNNNNNNNNNNNNNNNNNNNNNNNCUGAGCUGGGUGUGGUCGCAGAGACCAGAGAGAAGCGACUGUUUACUAAAAACACAGGUCCGUGCGAAGUCGUAAGACGAUGUAUACGGACUGACGCCUGCCCGGUGCUGGAAGGUUAAGAGGACCGGUUAACACCUUUGGGUGUGAAGCUGAGAAUUUAAGCCCCAGUAAACGGCGGUGGUAACUAUAACCAUCCUAAGGUAGCGAAAUUCCUUGUCGGGUAAGUUCCGACCUGCACGAAUGGCGUAACGACUUCUCUGCUGUCUCAACCACAGACUCGGCGAAAUUGCAGUACGAGUAAAGAUGCUCGUUACGCGCGGCAGGACGAAAAGACCCCGGGACCUUCACUAUAGCUUGGUAUUGGUGUUCGGUUCGGUUUGUGUAGGAUAGGUGGGAGACUGUGAAGCAUGCACGCCAGUGUGUGUGGAGUCGUUGUUGAAAUACCACUCUGAUCGUAUUGGAUAUCUAACCUCGGACCAUGAUCUGGUUCAGGGACAGUGCCUGGUGGGUAGUUUAACUGGGGCGGUUGCCUCCUAAAAUGUAACGGAGGCGCCCAAAGGUUCCCUCAGCCUGGUUGGCAAUCAGGUGUUGAGUGUAAGUGCACAAGGGAGCUUGACUGUGAGACGUACAUGUCGAGCAGGGACGAAAGUCGGGACUAGUGAUCCGGCACCGGCAAGUGGAAGCGGUGUCGCUCAACGGAUAAAAGGUACCCCGGGGAUAACAGGCUGAUCUUCCCCAAGAGUCCAUAUCGACGGGAUGGUUUGGCACCUCGAUGUCGGCUCGUCGCAUCCUGGGGCUGGAGUAGGUCCCAAGGGUUGGGCUGUUCGCCCAUUAAAGCGGCACGCGAGCUGGGUUUAGAACGUCGUGAGACAGUUCGGUCUCUAUCCGCCGCGCGCGUAAGAAACUUGAGGAAACCUGUCCCUAGUACGAGAGGACCGGGACGGACGAACCUCUGGUGUGCCAGUUGUCCUACCAAGGGCACUGCUGGUUAGCUACGUUCGGAAGGGAUAACCGCUGAAAGCAUCUAAGCGGGAAGCCUGUUCCAAGAUGAGGUUUCUCACCACCUUCGCGUGGUUAAGGCCCCCCACAGACCAUGGGGUAGAUAGGCCAGAACUGGAAGUCGGGUAACCGAUGCAGGUGACUGGUACUAAUCGGCCGAGGACUUACAACC